rnacentral:rRNA from 1 species
GUUGAACGCUGGCGGCAUGCCUUACACAUGCAAGUCGAACGGCAGCACGGGAGCAAUCCUGGUGGCGAGUGGCGAACGGGUGAGUAAUAUAUCGGAACGUGCCCAGUAGUGGGGGAUAACUGCUCGAAAGAGCAGCUAAUACCGCAUACGACCUGAGGGUGAAAGGGGGGGAUCGCAAGACCUCUCGCUAUUGGAGCGGCCGAUAUCAGAUUAGCUAGUUGGUGGGGUAAAGGCCUACCAUGGCAACGAUCUGUAGUUGGUCUGAGAGGACGACCAGCCACACUGGGACUGAGACACGGCCCAGACUCCUACGGGAGGCAGCAGUGGGGAAUUUUGGACAAUGGGCGCAAGCCUGAUCCAGCAAUGCCGCGUGCAGGAAGAAGGCCUUCGGGUUGUAAACUGCUUUUGUCAGGGAAGAAAUCCUCUAGGUUAAUACCCUUGGGGGGAUGACGGUACCUAAAGAAUAAGCACCGGCUAACUACGUGCCAGCCGCCGCCGUAAGAC